UACAGAGGUCUCAAGCGUUGUUCGGAUUCAUUGGCGUAAAGGGUGCGUAGGCGGCGCCGUAAGUCAGGUGUGAAAUCUCGGGGCUCAACCCCGAAACUGCACUUGAUACUGCGGUGCUAGAGGACUCGAGAGGAGAUUGGAAUUCACGGUGUAGCAGUGAAAUGCGUAGAUAUCGUGAGGAAGACCAGUGGCGAAGGCGGAUCUCUGGAGAGUUCCUGACGCUGAGGCACGAAGGCCAGGGAGCAAACGGG
rnacentral:rRNA from 1 species